AGGUAUCAAACAGGUACAUAGGUCAGGACUGACCACCACUCCUCUCAAGACGCACAGGAAAUGUUAAACAUGUGUUUGAUACCAGGUUGCAGCAGUAGCCAAGUAUACCUUUCGUUUGUUUCAUCUUGUGAAAAUGCUGUGGCCCUUUUUACUUGAUCAAAACCUGUCAAUUAUUUCUUGACAAUCUGAAGAAGUACUUGUAAUGUACUAGUCCAGAGUUAUAAACAGCCACUUACUGGAUCACCUCUGGCUAACAAAGAUGUACAGCAGCUAUUCAGAAAGAAAAUGACAGUGGGGUUUUUGUUCUUACACUUCUUGCAUUAGACUAUGCCCCAAUAGUGGGCCGCAACCCACCAGCCAAACACCUAUAUUUACGUAAUGGGAGGGGCUUGAACAAGAUGAAGGAUGAGAAAGGGCUCUUUCAUACUGUCCCCCAUCCUGCAAAAAAAUUACAAACUUCAUCUGAUGCACCACCAGGCCCUUGUCUAGUAUAUAACAUUGUCCAUACUUGAGGCUACACAGAAUCCGGAA